CGGGGUGUAGCGCAGCUUGGUAGCGCGCGUCGUUCGGGACGACGAGGUCGCCGGUUCAAAUCCAGUCACCCCGACCA
rnacentral:tRNA from 1 species